rnacentral:rRNA from 1 species
UCGAACGAUGAAGCCCAGCUUGCUGGGUGGAUUAGUGGCGAACGGGUGAGUAACACGUGGGUGAUCUGCCCUGCACUUCGGGAUAAGCCUGGGAAACUGGGUCUAAUACCGGAUAGGACCUCGGGAUGCAUGUUCCGGGGUGGAAAGGUUUUCCGGUGCAGGAUGGGCCCGCGGCCUAUCAGCUUGUUGGUGGGGUAACGGCCCACCAAGGCGACGACGGGUAGCCGGCCUGAGAGGGCGACCGGCCACACUGGGACUGAGACACGGCCCAGACUCCUACGGGAGGCAGCAGUGGGGAAUAUUGCACAAUGGGCGCAAGCCUGAUGCAGCGACGCCGCGUGAGGGAUGACGGCCUUCGGGUUGUAAACCUCUUUCAGUACCGACGAAGCGCAAGUGACGGUAGGUACAGAAGAAGCACCGGCCAACUACGUGCCAGCAGCCGCGGUAAUACGUAGGGUGCGAGCGUUGUCCGGAAUUACUGGGCGUAAAGAGCUCGUAGGCGGUUUGUCGCGUCGUCUGUGAAAACCCGCAGCUCAACUGCGGGCUUGCAGGCGAUACGGGCAGACUUGAGUACUGCAGGGGAGACUGGAAUUCCUGGUGUAGCGGUGAAAUGCGCAGAUAUCAGGAGGAACACCGGUGGCGAAGGCGGGUCUCUGGGCAGUAACUGACGCUGAGGAGCGAAAGCGUGGGUAGCGAACAGGAUUAGAUAC